ensembl:lncRNA
AUAAGUUAUAAAAGGCCUUGUUAAAUUCAGUAACUUUACAGUAGCUUUACAUCUGACGUUCACCAAAACUUUCACCAGGAACUUGUCUGGGUUUCGGAGUGCUAUGGUUUUGGGAUUUAUCGCCUGCAUUUGGAUUACGUUUCCCUGCCUAGCCCAGUCUGGAUUGUUCGCCCGAACACCUGACUACCGCUUUCUUCCGUGGUUCGUCUUCCGCCUGAUCCUCUCACUCUAGUCCUGUCCGUCCGAGCUUGCUUCCAGCAAGCUUUGUGGGAAUUGUUCAUGCCUGUUUUGUGUUGACGCACUUGAAACCAGAAAUUCUGGAAUUAUUCCUGGCAUACCGGAUGUGUGGCAUGUAAUGACAGACAAGUAAAGCGAAAUGGAAUUAUUUAAAGGUGGAAGCAAAAGACACAGACUGUGCAGCUAAAAGGAAAGAGAUUGAAAACCCAGACGUGCUUUAAAGAUGGCCAGCGCUUCUAUACCCCUCUAUAAUUUGGGAAGUGGCUACACCAUCGUCACUCAAGUUCUGCCCUCAACAGUGGAUCAGAAUUCCUCUCAGGCGGUCGGCCCACUGCAGAAAUUCCUGAAAGGAGAACCCAAAGCGCUGGGAACUGUCCAAAUAAUGAAUGGAAUCAUGAUAUUGCUGCUUGGUAUUUGGUUACUGAGUGACACAAGCAACACUGUGUACUUCUUUGUCAUAUUCUGUGGAUCGUUCUUUGUAAGUGUUCAGUUUUUUAAAAAUUAAAUAUAAACAAUAAUGCAAUAAUUAACAUAACUACAAUCAUUAUAUAAUUAUAUAUUAUAAUAAUAUAUAAAGUACAUUACACAGUUACAAUACAUUAGUUACAGCUCAUUUACCCCCUUAUCCUUAGCACAUCAUGGCUGGUUCUCUGACUGUUCAGCAUGCAACAAGCUUCAUCCUACUGUGGUGAAGUGGGCUAUGGCAGUGAAUAUUCUCAGUGCGAUAUCUGCAGCAAUCAUCGUCAUCAUACUUAUCCUGUAUUUGAGGUUUAACAGACUGCUGGAAUCAGUAGCAUUUUUCUGUUGGUUUUCUCUUUGCUCCAGUUCGCCGUCUCCAUCGCCAUCUCGGCUUUUGCCUGUAAAGCCACAGCCUCAAAUGAACCUACUAUCCUGAGGGAUAUGUUUCUGUGGACAACUACUUUCCAGCUCAUCAUGCUCACCCGGGGAUCAGUGCAAUUAAUGCUGUUGCCAUGCCUGUAGGAAGUCCUCCAGCAUACAGCGAGAUAAAAAGUGAAUCAGACAGCUGAAGAGAAUUUCAAAUAAGGAAUUACAGUAAAAUAGAAAACAGUAAAAUAAUAUUUUCAAUUUUCUCACAUAUGCACUGGUGAAGAACUGUAUUAUAAGGAAAUUAAAUCGUGUAUUUUUGUUAGUUUUUGCUGCAGUUGCUCCACACGUUUUAAAUUUUGGGAAUCUAAAUUGUACUCUAUUAAUAAUACUCUGUAUUAUUUUCUUCUAAAAUAAUAAUAAUAAUAAAGUAUACCACAGUGAUGUUGAAUUCUGGAUUCUGAUUGGUCAGGAAGUGUUCAUUAAUUUUAUAUAGGUCAUUAUUAAUAGGCUUCUUAUUUUGCUAUUGGUUCUGCACAGGGCAUCAGCUUUUCCAUUUUACAUUCCGUUUGGCUCAUUGCCCAAGAAACUGAAUCUUUGGUGAGCUGUUAUUGCCAACAGCUUUGCACCUAAGUACUGAUGUUAAUUUAUGGUGUCUAAAUACUUUUUUUCUGUUUUAUAUUUCCCUUCAAUCUUUUUAUUACAUUUCCUGAGUCAUUUAUUCCAUUUUUUUUUUUAACAAGUGUAGAUUAUAUUAAUUCAUCUAUUAAAAUUAAUUCAUUAUAUUAAUUCAUCUGUAUGGGAAGAUAGUAUUAGCCAUUUAAUGUUGAAUGUUU